AGCGAACGCUGGCGGCAGGCCUAACACAUGCAAGUCGAACGAACUCUUCGGAGUUAGUGGCGGACGGGUGAGUAACACGUGGGAACGUGCCUUUUGGUUCGGAAUAACUCAGGGAAGCUUGUGCUAAUACCGAAUGUGCCCUUCGGGGGAAAGAUUUAUCGCCAUUAGAGCGGCCCGCGUCUGAUUAGCUAGUUGGUGAGGUAACGGCUCACCAAGGCGACGAUCAGUAGCUGGUCUGAGAGGAUGACCAGCCACACUGGGACUGAGACACGGCCCAGACUCCUACGGGAGGCAGCAGUGGGGAAUCUUGCGCAAUGGGCGAAAGCCUGACGCAGCCAUGCCGCGUGAAUGAUGAAGGUCUUAGGAUUGUAAAAUUCUUUCACCGGGGACGAUAAUGACGGUACCCGGAGAAGAAGCCCCGGCUAACUUCGUG
rnacentral:rRNA from 1 species